rnacentral:rRNA from 1 species
GCAUAUCAAUAAGCGGAGGAAAAGAAACCAACAGGGAUUGCCCCAGUAACGGCGAGUGAAGCGGCAACAGCUCAAAUUUGAAAUCUGGCCCCUAGGGUCCGAGUUGUAAUUUGUAGAGGAUACUUUUGGCGCGGUGCCUUCCGAGUUCCCUGGAACGGGACGCCAUAGAGGGUGAGAGCCCCGUCUGGUUGGAUGCCUAGCCUCUGUAAAGUUCCUUCGACGAGUCGAGUAGUUUGGGAAUGCUGCUCUAAAUGGGAGGUAUAUGUCUUCUAAAGCUAAAUACCGGCCAGAGACCGAUAGCGCACAAGUAGAGUGAUCGAAAGAUGAAAAGCACUUUGAAAAGAGGGUUAAAUAGUACGUGAAAUUGUUGAAAGGGAAGCAUUUGUGACCAGACUUGGGCCCGGUUAAUCAUCCAGUGUUCUCACUGGUGCACUUUGCCGGCCCAGGCCAGCAUCAGUUCGCCUCGGGGGAUAAAGGUUUCGGGAAUGUGGCUCCCUCGGGAGUGUUAUAGCCCGUUGCGUAAUACCCUGUGGCGGACUGAGGUUCGCGCUCCGCAAGGAUGCUGGCGUAAUGGUCAUCAGUGACCCGUCUUGAAACACGGACCAAGGAGUCGUCUUCGUAUGCGAGUGUUCGGGUGUCAAACCCCUACGCGUAAUGAAAGUGAACGCAGGUGAGAGCUUCGGCGCAUCAUCGACCGAUCCUGAUGUUCUCGGAUGGAUUUGAGUAAGAGCAUACGGGGCCGGACCCGAAAGAAGGUGAACUAUGCCUGUAUAGGGUGAAGCCAGAGGAAACUCUGGUGGAGGCUCGCAGCGGUUCUGACGUGCAAAUCGAUCGUCAAAUAUGGGCAUGGGGGGCGAAAGACUAAUCGAACCUUCUAGUAGCUGGGUUUCUGCCGAGU